rnacentral:lncRNA from 1 species
AGGGAAUUUGUCGUAUGGCAUCGAGGAAAGGUAUAUUUAUUUGAACAGUUUUAAAGACUUCCAUUAUUUCAUCAAAGUUAGAUUGUUUCUUGGAGUCCUGAAGUCUACUGGGAAAGGGAACCUUAGGUUUGUAUGUUUCUAUGGGUUCUUCCUUUUUGUCUGAUUUAUCCUGUUCUUGAUCCCUCUUUUGAAUAGGGUUCUUAUCGGAUUCAUUUUUAUUUUCUUUUUCA